UACGUAGGUGGCAAGCGUUAUCCGGAUUUACUGGGUGUAAAGGGCGUGUAGGCGGUUUUGUAAGUCAGAUGUGAAAUCUUCGGGCUUAACUCGGAAACUGCAUCUGAAACUAUAAAACUUGAGUACUGGAGAGGAUAGUGGAAUUCCUAGUGUAGCGGUAAAAUGCGUAGAUAUUAGGAGGAACACCAGUGGCGAAGGCGACUAUCUGGACAGUAACUGACGCUGAGGCGCGAAAGCGUGGGGAGCAAACAGGAUUAGAUACCCUGGUAGUCCCU
rnacentral:rRNA from 1 species